rnacentral:tRNA from 1 species
UCUUUGGUGGCUUAGAUGUUAAAGAAUCUGUGUGCAAAGCAGGAGACCUGGGUUCAAUCCCCAGGUCGAGAA